CUUGCCUUUGACCCCAAAAAAAAAAAAAAAAUCAUGGCUUCCAUAGCGCAUCUUAGGCCUUCUCCAACGAGAGGUUUUUUAACUCAGAUAGAAAGAAAAAAAUAAUUCAGAUAAAAGAAAAAAGUAAGGAAGGAGAUGGAAUGAGAUUGAAUGAAAGGAAGGAGAUUGGGGUCGGAGGAGAUGCGAAGCGUCGUAUUGAAUCGGCGGAGGCCAAUCAGAGGAGAUACGACUCCAAAACCUUCAAGCUCCAAAUCCCCAAAUUUAAUUAGGGUUUCUCUACGAUUCCAAAUCGAAAUCGGAAUUGCAUAGCUCUUCACCAUUGCCGACGAAUUCCGCCAACGGCGGCGAUACAACAACCGCCGGGAACAGGCAAGUUGCGAUUGGUUUUACUAAGGAGAGCUUCAAAAUGAGGAGAUAACCAGGUGAUCAGAGAGAUAGUGAGCAGUCUAUCUUACAUGUAUGGAGUGAAGAGAAUUCUGGGAAUAUAUGUUUACAUUACAGGAGGAGAUGGAAGAGACCUGAGAGGACCUCUUUUGGACAACUUUAACUAAAUAUGAUGUGUUAGCUGGGACAGUUCAAGCAGAAGUUUACUGGGAAGAAGCUCCUCACAGCAGCAGAUGAUUCCAUUGUCACAUGUGGAAGCCGAGAAUAUAGAGAAUGGUAAUGGGGUUGUCAAGGCAACAACAUGCUAAUUCUACAACAACAUGCUAAUUCUACAACAACAUGCUAAUUCUACAAGAAAGCUCAACAGACUCGUCUUGUAAUUUUCAUAUUGUACUUUAAUUUAUUUAUUUUCAUAAACAAAAAAUUUAAAUUAAGAGACUCAAUCAUAUAACCUACCAUUGAAGGAGAAUAUUUUAA